UUUUAUAAUAAAGAUAAAAGCACGCCCGAUCUCGUCUGAUCUCGGAAGCUAAGCAGGGUCGGGCCUGGUUAGUACUUGGAUGGGUGACCGCCUGGGAAUACCAGGUGCUGUAAGCA
rnacentral:rRNA from 10 species